GCGCAGCAGUCGAGAAACCUUUACAAUGUCUUCACGGACGAUAGGGGAAUCCUGAGUGCUCUAGCAUUGCUAGAGCUUUUGCUUACUGAAAAAAGGUAGGCGAAUAAGUGGUGGGUAAGACGGGUGCCAGCCGCCGCGGUAAUACCCGCGCCACAAGUGGUGACCACGUUUAUUGGGUCUAAAGCGUUCGUAGCCGGCCUGAUAAAUUCUCGGUGAAAUCCUGUGUAAAUCAUAGGGCGUGCCGGGAAGACUGUCAAGCUAGGAACCGGGAGAGGCUGAGGGUACUCCAGGAGUAGGGGUUAAAUGCCGUUAUGGUUUAACCCUAGGUUUAACAAUCCUGUAAUUCUUGGAGGACCACCGGUGGCGAA
rnacentral:rRNA from 1 species